AACCAAUUUGUACAAGAUAUUUCAUACCCGAUUUACUUGCAUCAUCUAUAUUUAU
rnacentral:sRNA from 1 species